CCCAUAUCACAUUGAAGCACUGGUCCCCAUACAAUCAUCAAAGUUAAGCAACAUGGAACCUAGUUAGUACCUAGAUGGGUGACUGCUUGGGAAUACUAGGUGUUGUAAG